UCAAAUCGAAAAUCCUCAUCUAGAGCAGAUCUCUCCUUACUACUCCUUUUGUCUCACACCUUCAAAUACCCCCUCCAACUUUUCUUCAACAUAUACCCAGAAACCCUAAUCCCAAAAUUUGCCCUAUUCGCUGUAGAAAAUUGAGAAUUCGUUUCAAAGCCGAAGGAUAUAAAUGGAAAUAAUCAAGAGAAGUAGUACAUGGUGGAGAGAUGGGUUCAGCCUUGGUAACAGAGGGAUCAAAUGAAUAUAAUUCAAGGUAAGAAGGCAGUGAGUGAUGGAAGUCUCAGUCAUGCAUCAUUUUAUGAAUAUUGUUUUUGAGCACAAGGUUCUUAGAAUUGCAAUUAGUAAAUGCAUUGUCAUUUAUGCAACUCAUUUGGAGUUCGACUUUAAUUUAAAUAGAGUAAGGAUCUUUGUCAUUCAAUUUGAGGACAGUUGUAACCAAUCUCAUCUCUCAAUAUUGCAUUAAGUUUAGGGGC